rnacentral:rRNA from 1 species
AACGAACGCUGGCGGCAGGCUUAACACAUGCAAGUCGAGCGCCCCGCAAGGGGAGCGGCAGACGGGUGAGUAACGCGUGGGAAUCUACCCAUCUCUACGGAAUAACGCAUGGAAACGUGUGCUAAUACCGUAUACGUCCUUCGGGAGAAAGAUUUAUCGGAGAUGGAUGAGCCCGCGUUGGAUUAGCUAGUUGGUGGGGUAAAGGCCUACCAAGGCGACGAUCCAUAGCUGGUCUGAGAGGAUGAUCAGCCACACUGGGACUGAGACACGGCCCAGACUCCUACGGGAGGCAGCAGUGGGGGAUAUUGGACAAGGGGCGCAAGCCUGAUCCAGCCAUGCCGCGUGAGUGAUGAAGGCCCUAGGGUUGUAAAGCUCUUUCACCGGUGAAGAUAAUGACGGUAACCGGAGAAGAAGCCCCGGCUAACUUCGUGCCAGCCGCCGCGGUAAAAC